rnacentral:rRNA from 1 species
UACAGGGGGUGCAAACGUUGCUCGGAAUCAUUGGGCGUAAAGCGGGUGUAGGCGGACUUGUAAGUCAGGUGUGAAAUCCCAGGGCUCAACCCUGGAAGUGCACUUGAUACUGCAAGUCUUGAGUGUGGUAGAGGCUAUUAGAAUUCCUGGUGUAGUGGUGAAAUACGUAGAUAUCAGGAGGAAUACCGGAGGCGAAGGCGGAUAGCUGGGCCAACACUGACGCUGAGACCCGAAAGCGUGGGGAUCAAACAGG